rnacentral:rRNA from 1 species
UUUCAUCCUACAUGGAUAACUGUGGUAAUUCUAGAGCUAAUACAUGCAAUGAAGCGAAAGACCGUCAAUGGUCAGCGGCGCAGUUAUUAGAUUAAAAUCAAUAUAGGCCUUCGGGUCUAUCAAACUUGUGAUGAAUCUGAAUAACCGAAGCUAAGCACAUGGUCUCGUACCGGUGCUAGAUCUUUCAAGUGUCUGAUCUAUCAGCUUGUCGCUAGGUUAUGUUCCUAGCGUGGCUUCGACGGGUAACGGGGUAUCAGGGUCCGAUACCGGAGAGGGAGCCUGAGAAAUGGCUACCACAUCCAAGGAAGGCAGCAGGCGCGCAAAUUACCCACUCCCAGUUCGGGGAGGUAGUGACGAAAAAUAACGAUGCGGGAGCAUAAUGCUUCCCGUAAUCGGAAUGAGUACACUUUAAAUCCUUUAACGAGGAUCAAUUGGAGGGCAAGUCUGGUGCCAGCAGCCGCGGUAAUUCCAGCUCCAAUAGCGUAUAUUAAAGUUGCUGCGGUUAAAAAGCUCGUAGUUGGAUCUGGGUGUUUCGAUGAGUGGUGCAUCUAUUCRAUGUCUACUACUCCAUCGACACCACAAGCCAACCAUGUCUGUCUAUACCCUUCACUGUGGCGUAGAUAAUGGACGGUUGGAACGUUUACUUUGAAAAAAUUAGAGUGCUCAAAGCAGGCGUAUGGCCUUGAAUAAUGGUGCAUGGAAUAAUGGAAUAGGACCUCGGUUCUAUUUGUUGGUGUUUCAAGAGCUCGAGGUAAUGAUAAAGAGGAACAGACGGGGGCAUUCGUAUUGCGACGUUAGAGGUGAAAUUCUUGGAUCGUCGCAAGACGAACUACUGCGAAAGCAUUUGCCAAGAAUGUUUUCAUUAAUCAAGAACGAAAGUUAGAGGUUCGAAGGCGAUCAGAUACCGCCCUAGUUCUAACCAUAUACGAUGCCAACCAGCGAUCUGUCGGUGUUUAUUCUACCGACUCGACAGGCAGCUUCCGGGAAACCAAAGUGCUUAGGUUCCGGGGGAAGUAUGGUGCAAAGCUGAAAC